UUUCCGUAGGUGAACCUGCGGAAGGAUCAUUAUUGUAUAACCAACGUGCGAGGGCUUUCGCUGAUCCGAAUUGUCGUGCACGCCCGAGUGCCCUCACACACAUAAAUGUCACCCCCAGGUGCACCACCCCGAGACUCCCCCUCUGUCUUGUUCGGCGGGGGGCUUCCGUUUUCACACCAACUUUUCAUACAGUGUAGAAUGUAUUUUUUGCUUUUGCGAACACCCCAUCAAUACAACUUUCAACAACGGAUCACUUGGCUCUCGCGUCGAUGAAGAACG
rnacentral:misc_RNA from 1 species